UACAGAGGCCUCGAGCGUUAGGCGGAAUCACUGGGCUUAAAGCGUGUGUAGGCGGACGCCUAAGUGUCUUGUGAAAUCCCACGGCUCACCCGUGGAACUGCUGGGCAUACUGGGCGUCUUGGGCCAACUAGGGGCAGCCGGAACAAGCGGUGGAGCGGUGAAAUGCGUAGAUAUCGCUUGGAACGCCGAAGGUGAAAACAGGCUGCUGGGGUUGUGCCGACGCUGAGACACGAAAGCCAGGGGAGCAAACGGG
rnacentral:rRNA from 1 species